UUGUUGUUUAGCUGAUGCCAGUGUCGCACUGUCGGGAGCGACCCUAGAGCAAUGUCCGUUAUGUUCGUGUUGCAGCCCUAGCCACUGCUGAAGCGUUCUUGUCGCUAGCCGUUCAUGCUGGCGCUCAGUAAUCAGGGGCGGUAGCAUUAGCGUUUCAUCAAUGCCCGUCUGCGCAAAGCUGUCCACAACACCCCGUUCGAACAGUCAGUGAACGCAAGGAGCGCGUAAAAAAUAGGUUGAGAGAAAGACACGGGACCCUCCACAUUUGUGCUCCUGUCGAUUCCUAGUCUAGCUCGCUUGGAGGAACGUUAGCAGUAGCAGAGGAGACACGGCCCUGGAUGAGCGAUGGACAAACCUAGAUUGCCUGCUGAUGAUGCCGACUCGGGUCGAGGAAGAAGUGGAAGUCUCUCUAAGGAUGACCAGCUCAAGCUCCAGAAGAAGCUCCAGGAGAGACCGGGGCGGGAGCAGCUGGUCAACCAGAACAUCCUCAAAUGUAAGUCAGCGUUUGCAGUCCUGUUCUUGGGAACUGAGUAAACACAUUCUUUCCGCACGCAGUCACUAUCUGUUGCCAAAUAGGGGACAGCUGGUCAACUAGAACAUCCUAAAAUGUAAGUCAGUGUUUCCAGUACACUGCAACCUGUCUGCGGCGACCGCUCAGGGGACCUUGCAGGGGACCUUGGGAAUGUGGUCCCUGCGUACAGGUGGUCUCCUUAUCCAGGGUCACUUGACUGGAAAUACCAUCCUUCGGUCCUACAGUCAGUUUCAAAAAGAUUAGCAAUCCUGGUGAUCGCCCGGGGAGUUUGCCGUCUUACCGUAUGAGCGCUCGAGCUUUGCCUGGAAAAACUCACUGUGAACUCGAAGAAAUAUUCCGCGCGAAAGCAUGAAAAAUGACAACUCACUCAGGUCGAUGUCGGUACAGUCGUGUACGUCUGGUUCACAACAAACGAGUUCUUCCUCGUAUCGAUUAUGCAGUCAGAGAGGACAUGUCGAAAGUGUAGUCAAUGCCGAGGCUGACGAGCGGCAUGGGUCCCAAUAUGUUUUGUGACCAAAUAGUUUCUUUGAGCUGCGAUGCAAUUUACUCUUACCAUGAUUGUGACGAAAACGACAUCGACACAGACUCAUUCCCAAGGCCAUGACUUGGCGAAGCUAUCCGUAUGACUUCGACAACAUUUUGAGAAAAGCAGACGCCUGUGGAAGCUGAUAGAAGACGGCGUUGACUUCUAAAAUUCAAAUAAAUUGGCGAUCUUGAAAUACUAAAAUAAUUCUCAAAAAGAAAUCGAUCGAUCGAUGUGCCGGUGUAUUCAACACGUAGCUACAGCGCAAUGACUUCCGUAUUCACUCACACCGUUUCAGUGUUGUGGGUGUGUUCACAUGGCGUGAGCCAGUCAAGUGUCAGUCAGUUCGGGAGGAAGCGGGAGCUCCAACAACAACAACCGUGAACAACAACAAGUCUGCUUGAUCACCAAAAAACAAUGAAAAAAAGUGUGAGUUGAAGAUAGGUUGGGAUUUGAACUCACAACUUCAUGGUCAGCAGACAGCAUCCAUAACCACAAGGCCGGCCAGAAAGGAAAGAUAAAUCGUGGGUUUUGAUAGAAAAAUCGAUACUGGCUUCCAGGGCAAAUUGUAAACCAUGGGAAAAGGCCGGAAACCUGGCCGAAAUUCUAACUCCUUAACGGCUGGUCCAAUUGUUCCGAAACCUUCACAGAACAAUUUGCCGUGCCCUAACCAGCCCUUUUAUGUACUUCGUUGUCCAAUUUUCCCUUAUCUUCAUACUUUUUAAGACCAAAACCUGAUUGCUAAUCUUUUUGAAACAGACUAUAGUUGCAGUGGUCUUCUAGGACUGGUGGUCGCCUAAUCCGAGUGGUGGCCUUGACAGGUUGAACUGUACUGGUCUUGGGAACGUCGCUUCUCCAUAUUCUUUCUUCGCCCGUAAAUAUAACGAAUCAACAACAAAGCCAAGGAUCUUUGUAGGUCAAAACAUGACACCUUCUUUCCACAUGCAUUACCGUAUUUCCCCGUAAGUUAGUACGUACUAACUUUCGAACUUAGCAGCCACAUGAGUACUAACUUUCGGGGGUGGUACUAUCUUUCGGGGAGUACUUUUUUAUCGGGGGUAAAUGACACGCAGUGGGAAGCCUGCGCAACUGUAGUGUCCGUGCAUAUGAUGUACAUGUAUGUACUGUACGGUGUCUGUACAUGUAGGACGGGUACGAACUUACUAUCUUUCGGGGGGAACUGUCUUUCGGGGUGAUAACCUCGGCAGUGGAAAGUGUAUUUUUUAUAGGGGGGUACUAAGGCAUUAGGGAGAACUUACUUACGGCAAAAUACGGUAUGUGGACUAUCUGUUGCCGAAUGGUGGUGUACUAGCAGUGCAAGCUCGUAAACUAUGUCAAAUGUAACUCUGCAAAGUUUGGCCCAUUUAAAUGUCAGCCUCCCAGGGCUAAAACUCAUUUAAGUUCAGUCUGCAAAUUUUCGGCCCAUUGUUGUGAAAUGGUGAUUGUGUUGUUUUCCUGUGUGAUGGCAUUCCCCAAACUGUCUCGUCUAGCCGCGUGCAUGUGUGAUAUGAGCAUGCGCGAUUUUGUACUUGAGAGGCGUUUUGUCAGUCUUCUUGUUUGUCUCUGUCAGAGCAGUUUGCUUUUCCGUCUUGUCAAUAUAAAUAAUGUAACAAACAAGUCUUGUCCUUUGUGUCCUGCGUCCCGGGGAACGGAAUCGCCGAGAUUCCGUAACAACAUUCUAAUUUCAGCCUCCCAGGGCUAAAACCCAUUUUUGCUGCAUCACAUUUUCGGCCUAUACUGCUGCCUCCUGUAUACACUGUCACACUGAACCUUGCAAAACAAUUUCAGCCCAACAUGACCAGGCUGAAAACAGCCGAAAAUAAAUAUGCGCCGAAUAUUUGUUGACUCACAGUAACUGCUGGUUCAGGGUGUCGAACAGCAUGUCCAUCAUGCCACGGUCCAGUCGGUGCUUUUACAGUUGGAUGCUUCACCCGUCUCGUCGUGUAUGUAGAUUUUUGUGCUCAAUCGUAUUGUAUAUCACUCGCCGUGCUCUGUUGUAGUUGCUCCCAUCCCAUAUAUUCAU